rnacentral:lncRNA from 10 species
CUGGGGCCGCUAAGCGCAGGCUCCCUGGGCUGGCACCGCCCUAGGCUGGAGAAAGAGGAAACACGUUGGUCUGCGCACUCAGAGCCGAGUCAAAUGUGCAGGAAGAUUCCCCCAAACUGAAAGAAGUAAUGAAAAGAAAACAAAAAAAAUCCUUAAAAAUCGAGUGAAUCAGUUCGUAGAGAAUUGCAGGGUCAACAGCAAAUUUGAGGCAGUGGAUAUGAGGAUAGAGGAGACACUCCUGAAGACUUCACUUUCUCCAUUUCUGUACUUGAAUUUUUACACCAAGCAUACAGCUUGAAAAAAUUAAAUGAGUAUGCAGUAUUUUAAAAAUCAACAAAAGCUUCACAUUUUAAUUUUCACUUGAAAAAAAAACAUGAGUGGUACUCAGCAGAACAACAACUAUAUCGUAUAAGCUGCAUCAGAGACAAAUGAAGAUGAAAAAACUAUCCUCCUAUAUAACUAAUCUGUGCUGUGCCCCAACAAAGCCUGCUUUAAAUUUCCGUGCCAAUUACAACCCCCAUUCUGUAUCAGGCAAGGAAGACUCCUCUACCCUUGAUUCUGGAUUGGAAAGGUCACAAGGCUUAGAUUCCACAGGAGGAGGUGAAGACAUCUGCAGAGUCUGUACUGCGAGCUGAAGCUUUAUUUGCUUGUUGGAUCCCCAAAAGGUCCAAAUCCAGUCUGCACCAAACAGGAAGGCUUGGUGCUUGGUCAUCUUGGUGGUGGUCAGCCACUCAUCAACUCCCUUUUCUUGGCAGAAAGUGAUGAAAUGGAUUAAGAAGAUCUCAUUCAGAGUAUUUGCAGCUGGGCAGAGUUUACUUGGAGGAUAUUCAAAUCCAAGGUACUCCUUCAGUUUCUGAGCUGCAUGGACUAUAGCUUCACUGACCACCUCACAGACGACGGGCACCUCUUUGCUGUCCUUCAGAGCCAACUGUUGCGAUGCUUUCUGCCCCAUUUUCUCUGCAUCCAAAUAUCAAACAUGUGAAUCUGGUUCAGACGUACUUCUUUUUCAAAGUAAAAGUUCUGCAGGGAGGCCACAUCUGUUAAUGGUUCAUGUUUUUCUAACUCUACAGCUUCCUCGGGUGUAGUUAAGCAUAUAUACAUACAGCUAAAUAAACAUGUUAGUUCUCUCUGUUUGUCAGUUGGGUGUGUUGUGUUCAUACAGUUCCUGCUGGUUUAUUAAGUUAAAGAUACUAAAUUUCACACAAAACAUCUGUUCUAUCUAGGUUAUAUUCACUCUACUUUUAAUCUUUGGUAAUCUCUUCCAACAUGUUUCCUCUUUCCAAGUUUUAGUUGAAGUAAAAAUAGCACGUUAGUUCUUUUUGUUUUUGUUUUUUGAGACAGGGUCUCACUCUGCUACCCAGGCUGGAGUGCAGUGGCGCAAUCAUGGCUCACUGCAGCUUCAACCUCCCUGGGCUCAGGUGAUCUCACCUCAGCCUCUUGAGUAGCUGGGGCUACAAGUGUAUACCACCACACCUGGCUAAUUUUUGUGUAUUUUUUGUAGAGGUGGGGUUUCACCAUGUUGUCCUGGCUGGUCUCAAUCUCCUAGGCUCAAGCAAUCCUCCCGCCUCGGCCUCCCAAAGUGCUGGGAUUAUAGGCAUGAGCCACUGCACCCAGCCCUAUGUUAGUUUUUUAAAUAUCCAUACACCUCUUUCUACAACUAACUUCUUCCAAUCUCUAGGUGAGUCAUUUCCAUUUGCUUUUCCUAUUUUCUUUUUUUGUUUGUUUUUGUUUCUUUUACCUUCUGCCAUGAUUCUUCAUUCCCCAGCUCAGUUGCUUCUUUUCCUACAAAAGCUUCUCAAACAAAGGCCUCAAAUUCCUAUCUGUUGAUACACAUUAUAAACUCCAUUCGAACAAAUUUAUGGCAGUUUAUAAAGAGAUUGUGUUAUUUUCUAUGUCAGAAACAAAGCCUGUUACUAUGAACAACGGAAAAUGAAAUAAGGGCAAUAAAAAUGAGGCAAUUAUCAAUUGACUUUAUUUCCUUUCAUAUGGUAACACCAGCAGUGUAUGAUAUUUGUAAAUAAAAU